rnacentral:rRNA from 1 species
AUGAUUUUAAUAGUCGAACAGACUAACAAUUUAAACUCCUGCAUCUAAAUUAUAUCAUAAUUCAACAUCGAGGUCGCAAACACUUUUAUCAAUUUGGUCUCUCCAAAAAUAUUACG